rnacentral:rRNA from 1 species
CGGGAAGUGGGGAUGACGUCAAAUCAUCAUGCCCCUUAUGACCUGGGCUACACACGUGCUACAAUGGUUGGUACAACGAGUUGCGAGUCGGUGACGGCGAGCUAAUCUCUUAAAGCCAAUCUCAGUUCGGAUUGUAGGCUGCAACUCGCCUACAUGAAGUCGGAAUCGCUAGUAAUCGCGGAUCAGCACGCCGCGGUGAAUACGUUCCCGGGCCUU